GAUGAACGCUGGCGGCGUGCCUAAUACAUGCAAGUCGAGCGAACGGACGAGAAGCUUGCUUCUCUGAUGUUAGCGGCGGACGGGUGAGUAACACGUGGAUAACCUACCUAUAAGACUGGGAUAACUUCGGGAAACCGGAGCUAAUACCGGAUAAUAUUUUGAACCGCAUGGUUCAAAAGUAAAAGACGGUCUUGCUGUCACUUAUAGAUGGAUCCGCGCUGCAUUAGCUAGUUGGUAAGGUAACGGCUUACCAAGGCAACGAUGCAUAGCCGACCUGAGAGGGUGAGCGGCCACACUGGAACUGAGACACGGUCCAGACUCCUACGGGAGGCAGCAGUAGGGAAUCUACCACAAUGGGCGAAAGCCUGACGGAGCAACGCCGCGUGAGUGAUGAAGGUCUUCGGAUCGUAAAACUCUGUUAUUAGGGAAGAACAUAUGUGUAAAUAACUGUGCACAUCUUGACGGUACCUAGUCAGAAAGCCACGGCUAACUACGUG
rnacentral:rRNA from 1 species